AUUGAACUCUGGCGGCAUGCCUUACACAUGCAAGUCGAACGGCAGCACGGGAGCAAUCCUGGUGGCGAGUGGCGAACGGGUGAGUAAUAUAUCGGAACGUGCCCAGUCGUGGGGGAUAACGCAGCGAAAGCUGUGCUAAUACCGCAUACGAUCUAAGGAUGAAAGCGGGGGAUCGCAAGACCUCGCGCGAUUGGAGCGGCCGAUAUCAGAUUAGCUAGUUGGUGGGGUAAAGGCCCACCAAGGCGACGAUCUGUAGCUGGUCUGAGAGGACGACCAGCCACACUGGAACUGAGACACGGUCCAGACUCCUACGGGAGGCAGCAGUGGGGAAUUUUGGACAAUGGGCGCAAGCCUGAUCCAGCAAUGCCGCGUGCAGGAUGAAGGCCUUCGGGUUGUAAACUGCUUUUGUACGGAACGAAACGGCCCUUUCUAAUACAGGGGGCUAAUGACGGUACCGUAAGAAUAAGUACCGGCUAACUACGUGCAGCCGCCGCCGUAAAAC
rnacentral:rRNA from 1 species